UUUUAAAUUCCUCUGUUUUCUUUUGGUCACCUCAACCCAUCCUCUUCCUGUUACGGAACAUACACACACACACACACACAUAUAUAUAUAGAGAGAGAGAUAGCUAUAUAUACACACGCAUAUGCAUAUAUAUUUAACUAGACUCAGGUAACACCACAAAGCAAAACUAGGUUUGAUAUACAAGUAAAUAUUUAUAGAUCAAUAAAUACAUACACACGCAUACACAAAUACACACACACACACAUAUGCACAUAAAUCUAUACACAUACACACACACAUACAUAUACUAUUAUUAAUAACAACAAGGGAUUUUUGAUUUUAUACGCAGGAAAGCUCAGUUAGAUAUAGUUGUUUCAAGUCACAGACCAACGAACUUAACCAAGCAGUGCUGAAGGAAACAUCGGAAAAUUUACAUUAAAUUUAAUAAAUAAAUUUCACAGAAAUGUCAACAAGUUUAGCUUCAUUGGCAGACAGCUGCCCACCUCUGUCUUGUGAUACUUUUGUUGUGCUGCCACCCAACAGUUUAGAUAACUGUGUCAUAUUUGGUAAGAAUUCUGACAGACCAUCUGAAGAGGUACAGGAAGUACUCUAUAUUGCUGGUUGUGACCAUCCAAGAAAUAGUAAAGUACAAUGUACCUAUACCAAAGUCGAUCAGGCAGCAAGAACUUAUUCAAUUAUCAUAACAAAACCAUCUUGGAUGUGGGGAGCUGAGAGUGGAUCAAAUGAAAAUGGCGUCUGUAUUGGUAAUGAAGCUGUGUUCUCUAAGAUGCUCAGCCAACAAGAGAAUGAGGAAAAGCUACUUGGUUGUGAUAUCGUUAGGUUGGCUCUUGAACGCAGCGCUACAGCAAAAGAAGCUAAAGACAUCAUCAUCAAGCUAUUAGAAACAGUUGGAGUGGGAGGCCGGGUAUCGGAUGAACCGCUUCUGUCCUACCUGAAGUAUGACAACAGCUUCUUAAUCAGUGACAAAACAGAAGCUUGGAUUGUAGAAACUGCUGGACAAUUUUGGGCAACGCAGAGAGUGACUUCUGGCUUGAGAAACCUAUCCAACAUUCUGACCAUUGGAACCGACUAUGACGAGCUGGCCGAAGGGACCAAAGAACAUGCUGAGAAAUAUGGCUGGUGGGAUCCGGCUGAAGGAGAGUUUCACUUUGCUAAAAGCUUUUGCCAGACAUAUUCUGAAGUGGAGAAAAUGGAUAAAUUCACGCACAGCAGAUAUGCUAGUGGACGUGAAAUGCUGGAAGAGUUUUCUAAGGAUAAACGAUUCUGUGUUGCUGAUAUGAUUAGCAUUCUAAAAGACGAACCGAGUGGGAUUAAUAUGAAAGGAGUAUUUCGUACAAUGAGCUCACAUGUUUCUUUUAUCCGUCCACCUGGCUCACCUUUAGCCUCUUGCCAUUGGCUAACCGGAACACCUGAUCCUGUUUUCUCUAUAUUUAAACCCUUUGUUUUCACCGAUGGGGCUAAUAUUGGUGCAAGCACAAAAUCCCCAAAUUUUGGUUCUGAAGAUCCAGCUAAAUGUAUCCCAAGGUUUCGUCGGAGAGUUGAUCGCAGCACACCUUUGUUUGAGGAACAUGAACGUGUGUAUAUAAGUUGUGGUACGAAAGGUCGGGAAUCAGAUAAGUGGCUUAAGGAGAUGAACACACUGCAAGGCAGCAUUAUUCGAGAAACAGAAGAGUUUAUCAAUGACCCGGAGAAGCUUCAGUUAAAUAAAGGUACCAAAAAGACACUUUUCAGAAUGGCUGUCCACAAAGAAAUGGUACUUUAUAGCAAAAGAACAGGGAAUCCUGUUUUUUUUGAUUGAAUCAAGAAACUGAAGAACAGGAUCCAAUUAUAUCUGAGUCCCAAAUACUAAAGAUCUACACUACAAUCUGAAAUCUACUUCCACGAUGAUGCUAGCCCACGUCC
rnacentral:misc_RNA from 1 species